rnacentral:lncRNA from 13 species
AGUGCAUACCAUGGGGCCUGACACAUAGGAAAAAGCACAGUACGUUGAACUCACUAUUAUUAUUAAUAAUUAUUAUUAUUUUUAGACAGAAUCUCACUCUGUCACUAGGCUGGAGUGCAGUGGCAUGAUCUCAGCUCACCGCAACCUCCAUCUCCCUUGUCCAAGCAAUUCCCCUGCCUCAGCUUCCUGAAUAGCUGGCACCACAAGCACCUGCCACCAUGCCCAGUGGCUGGUAGAUAAUGUCCUCUUCACAGCAGUCUCAUCCUUGUUGGAAAAAUUCUCAAAAGGCCACUCGAGCAGGUCACAGAGCCUGAAGAGUCAUUGAGAGUACUGUGAGCAAUCUUGCCUUGCAGUUAACCACUUAAUAAAUUAUUCAUCAUUAGAUGUUGGGGUGGGUAACUUCACUAUAAUUAUAAGACCUGGGUUAUGGCUCCAGCUCCACACUCUUUGGCUCAUGAUCUUUAUUCCAAAGGGUGACUUACUUGAGGUCACAAAGUAAAUCAAUUUCAGAGGCCAAACAGCAACUCAGCCCUUUCAACCAGCUUUCUUCCAUCAAGACAGCCCAAGAAGAAGACAACCCUCAGUGCCACCGCCGUGCCGCAACCCUCAGUGCCACCACCGUGCCGGGUAAGUUUGUAUCUGUGCAAAACUCCUUUUCACUGAGAUUUUAACUUCCAACAUUGUGUGCAUGUAAACAUGUGGCACAUCACCAUUCAAAACUCUCCUUUAA